UACGUAGGAUGCAAGCGUUGUCCGGAAUUAUUGGGCGUAAAGAGCGCGCAGGCGGUAUGACAAGUCAGAUGUGAAAGAGGCCGGCUUAACCGGCAAGGGUCAUUUGAAACUGUCAGACUAGAGUGCAGCAGAGGAUAGUGGAAUUCCCGGUGUAGUGGUGAAAUGCGUAGAUAUCGGGAGGAACACCUGUGGCGAAAGCGGCGCACUGGACCACAACUGACGCUGAGGCGCGAAAGCUAGGGGAGCAAACAGG
rnacentral:rRNA from 1 species